rnacentral:rRNA from 1 species
AACGAACGCUGGCGGCAUGCCUAACACAUGCAAGUCGAACGAGACCUUCGGGUCUUGUGGCGCACGUCUGCGUACCGCGUGGGAACCUGCCCUUAGGUUCGGAAUAACUCCCCGAAAGGGGUGCUAAUACCGGAUAAUGUCUUCGGACCAAAGAUUUAUCGCCUUUGGGUGGGCCCGCGUUGGAUUCGCUAGUUGGUAGGGUAAAAGCCUACCAAGGCGACGAUCCAUAGCUGGUCUGAGAGGAUGAUCAGCCACACUGGGACUGAGACACGGCCCAGACUCCUACGGAAGGCAGCAGUGGGGAAUAUUGGACAAGGGGGGAAAGCGUGAUCCAGCAAUGCCGGGGGAGUGAUGAAGGCGGUAGGGUUGUAAAGCUCUUUUACCCGGGAUGAUAAUGACAGUACCGGGAGAAUAAGCUCCGGCUAACUCCGUG